rnacentral:rRNA from 1 species
AGUGAACGCUGGCGGUAGGCCUAACACAUGCAAGUCGAACGGCAGCAUAGUAAGAGCUUGCUCUUACGGGUGGCGAGUGGCGGACGGGUGAGGAAUACAUCGGAAUCUACUUUUUCGUGGGGGAUAGCGUAGGGAAACUUACGCUAAUACCGCAUACGACCUACGGGUGAAAGCAGGGGAUCUUCGGACCUUGCGCGAUUGAAUGAGCCGAUGUCGGAUUAGCUAGUUGGCGGGGUAAAGGCCCACCAAGGCGACGAUCCGUAGCUGGUCUGAGAGGAUGAUCAGCCACACUGGAACUGAGACACGGUCCAGACUCCUACGGGAGGCAGCAGUGGGGAAUAUUGGACAAUGGGCGCAAGCCUGAUCCAGCCAUACCGCGUGGGUGAAGAAGGCCUUCGGGUUGUAAAGCCCUUUUGUUGGGAAAGAAAAGCAGCAGGUUAAUACCCCGCUGUUCUGACGGUACCCAAAGAAUAAGCACCGGCUAACUUCGUG